rnacentral:rRNA from 1 species
CCCUUAGAUGUUCGGGGCCGCACGCGCGCUACACUGAAGGACUCAGCGUGUCUCUCCCCCUAUCCCGAAAGGGAUGGGCAACCCGUUGAACCUCCUUCGUGCUAGGGAUUGGGGUUUGCAAUUAUCCCCCAUGAACGAGGAAUUCCCAGUAAGCGCGAGUCAUCAGCUCGCGUUGAUUACGUCCCUGCCCUUUGUACACACCGCCCGUCGCUCCUACCGAUUGAAUGUUCCGAUGAAUACCAUGGACUGAGAGUAUGAAUGGGUUCGCCUAUUUCUGCUUCUCGGGAAGUGGAGUAAAUCUUAACAUUUAGAGGAAGGAGAAGUCGUAACA